CCUGCAUCUUGGCUCUUCCUCAUUUUCUCUCAGCCAGGAAAGGAGAGGAAAUAAAUCAUGGAAGAGCAAGGUUUCGACAGUCUCUCCUUGAGCCAGAAUCUGCCGCUGAGCCAGGAUUCCUUUAGACAGCUGUGGGAGAGUGUAGCCACACCCUCCAUCUCCACCAUACCAACAGCGACUGAUGGGGAUAUUGGAUCAUGGAGGACGGACGGUAAUGCUUAUAUGCUGCCGAGUGACUCUCUGCUGCCUGACGAGUUUGAUGAGAAACUGUUUGACAGUUUCACAGAGAUUUCCGCUACAGACAGUGUUACUCCCCCGUCCUCCACCGUCCCGGUUACAACUGAUUACCCAGGGGAGAAUGGCCUCCAGCUUCGCUUUCAGAAGUCUGGCACAGCAAAGUCCGUCACCUCCACUUUUUCGGAGCUUCUGAACAAGCUGUAUUGCCAGCUGGCAAAAACCACUCCAAUUGAAAUACACGUCACCAAGGAGCCUCCUGCGGGUGCUGUCCUGAGGGCCACAGCGGUCUACAAGAAGACAGAGCACGUAGCGGAUGUGGUCCGAAGGUGUCCACACCACCAGAACGAAGACACCGCUGAGCAUCGCAGCCAUUUGAUCCGAGUGGAGGGAAGCCAGAGAGCUUUGUAUUUUGAAGAUCCACACACAAAGAGGCAAAGUGUGACUGUCCCGUACGAGCCUCCACAGUUGGGGUCGGAGAUGACGACUAUCUUGCUGAGCUUUAUGUGCAAUAGUUCCUGCAUGGGGGGCAUGAACCGAAGACCUAUACUCACCAUCCUAACCCUCGAGACUCCAGAGGGUCUUGUUCUGGGCCGGAGGUGCUUCGAGGUACGUGUCUGUGCAUGUCCAGGCAGGGACCGCAAAACUGAGGAGGAUAAUAGCGCCAAGUUGCAGAACGGGACUAAACAAACAAAGAAACGGAAGAGCGCUCCACCUCCUGACACAUCUUUAAAGAAGACCAAGUCUGCCUCCAGUGCAGAGGAGGAGGACAAGGAAGUGUUUACUUUGCGUGUUCAUGGUCGCGAACGCUACGAAAUGUUAAAGAAAAUCAACGAUGGUCUGGAGUUGCUGGACAAAGAGAGCAAAAGCAAGACCAAGGUGUCUGUGAAACACGAGCUUCCUCUGCCAUCAAGCGGGAAGAGACUCCUGCAAAGAGGAGACCGAAGCGACAGUGAUUAAGAAGCUCGUCGCUUUGAGCUUCCAUUAGAAAACAACUUUCGUCUCUUUCUCCCUCCAAGCCAGCGGGUUUAUUUCAGGAUCUGUCUGAAAAGUUGCCUACCCCAGAUUUAAUUACUCAAGAAGCUGUUCGGUCAGAUUUCUUGUCACACGUGUGAUUCCAACAGAUCAUAAUUGUAUGAGUCGCUGCCGUUGGGUUUGAAAAGGUGCAAACUUGUAAAACUUGAAUGGAUAUUUUACCUCCAUUAAGGUUGCUGUAUUACUGUACCACAGCCCAUGCAAAUUAUAGCAUUUACAUUCUGUCAAACUCUGUCUGUGAGGAGGAAGUUCUGCAACCCUCUUACUGGUUCUGCUGUCAAACCAGAUGUAAAAAUGAUUUAAGGCCAGAUUAAUGAAUGCACAGGCUUGUCUGCAUGUCAAUUUGUUUUUUCUCUGUUUAUUUAGGUUUGUUUUCAUCACUAACAGCUGUGAAUACAUCUUAGCCCUGUUAAUUUCCUUGGAUCUGUAUAUUCAGGCCUCCUCUUGGAUGGUGAUGAUUGUGCUCGCAGGGAACAUGUUAUAGUCACGAUUUCUGUUAAAAUUAACAGUAGAUUUGAAAGAUGAAGGGCUGGCUGGAUCACCCACAAAAACUAAUCAACUUUUAGUAUUUGUAACUUUUUUAUAUAGCAGAGAGCAGGAAUUAUUGGUAGGUGGGGGAAAAAAAAAUAGGAGUGUCAUGAAAACACAGGAACGGUACACACAGGGACAUUACAACAAGGGAACAAAAAAAAGCCACUUUUUUUUUGUUUCCAGUUUUGCCUCCCAGCCGCAGACUGUGUGCUAUUUCACAAUUAACCAGCACUUCAGUGUGAUGCGACUAAUCAGUCAGUAAAACCACUUUUUUACACUGCCAAAAAAUAUAAAAGGCAUUUCUUUGUUUUAUUUCUGUAUCUUUUAUGGUUUAUUUUGGGAACAUACUUUUUUAUAAGAGGUUGAUCUUUCUAUAUUUUUCAUUGUUGUUUUUUUUCAUGGCUUUUUUUGUACUAAUUUGCGUUUUGUUACUCCAAGCUUGAAGCCAAAAUAAAUGCAUAAUGUUAAA